ACGAAGGGGGCUAGCGUUGCUCGGAAUUACUGGGCGUAAAGGGCUCGUAGGCGGCCAACUAAGUCAGACGUGAAAUCCCUCGGCUUAACCGGGGAACUGCGUCUGAUACUGGAUGGCUUGAGUUUGGGAGAGGGAUGCGGAGUUCCAGGUGUAGCGGUGAAAUGCGUAGAGAUCAGGAGGAACACCCGUGGCGAAGGCGGCCUUCUGGGUCCGCCCUGACGCUGAGGCGCGAAAGCGUGGGGAGCGAACGGGA
rnacentral:rRNA from 1 species